rnacentral:rRNA from 1 species
UGCGUAGGCGGUUUGGUAAGUCAGAUGUGAAAUCCCGGGGCUCAACCCCGGAACUGCAUCCGAUACUGCCAGACUAGAGGACUGGAGAGGUGACUGGAAUUCUCGGUGUAGCAGUGAAAUGCGUGGAUAUCGAGAGGAACACUCGAGGCGUAAGCGAGUCACUGGACAGUAUCUGACGCUGAGGCACGAAGGCCAGGGUAGCGAAAG